rnacentral:rRNA from 1 species
UUUAAACAUGAGAGUUUGAUCUUGGCUCAGGACGAACGCUGGCGGCAUGCCUAAUACAUGCAAGUCGAACGAUGAUAUCACUGCUUGCAGUGAUUGAUUAGUGGCGAACGGGUGAGUAACACGUGAGGAACUUGCCCAUGAGCGGGGGACAACAUUCGGAAACGGAUGCUAAUACCCCAUAGGUGGAUUGGUCGCAUGACGAAUUCAUUAAAGGUGGCUUCGCUACUACUCAUGGAUAGCCUCGCGGCGUAUUAGCUAGUUGGUAAGGUAAUGGCUUACCAAGGCAGUGAUACGUAGCCGACUUGAGAGGGUGAUCGGCCACACUGGGACUGAGACACGGCCCAGACUCCUACGGGAGGCAGCAGUAGGGAAUCUUCCACAAUGGGUGCAAACCUGAUGGAGCAAUGCCGCGUGAGUGAAGAAGGUCUUCGGAUCGUAAAGCUCUGUUGUUAGAGAAGAACACGUGCUAGGUAACUACUAGCGCCUUGACGGUAUCUAACCAGAAAGUCACGGCUAACUACGUGCCAGCAGCCGCGGUAAUACGUAGGUGACAAGCGUUGUCCGGAUUUAUUGGGCGUAAAGGGAGCGCAGGCGGUCUGUUUAGUCUAAUGUGAAAGCCCACGGCUUAACCGUGGAACGGCAUUGGAAACUGACAGACUUGAAUGUAGAAGAGGAAAAUGGAAUUCCAAGUGUAGCGGUGGAAUGCGUAGAUAUUUGGAGGAACACCAGUGGCGAAGGCGAUUUUCUGGUCUAACAUUGACGCUGAGGCUCGAAAGCGUGGGGAGCGAACAGGAUUAGAUACCCUGGUAGUCCACGCCGUAAACGAUGAGUGCUAAGUGUUGGGGGCUUUCCGGCCCUCGGUGCUGGAGCUAACGUAUUAAGCACUCCGCCUGGGGAUUACGACCGCAAGGUUGAAACUCAAAAGAAUUGACGGGGACCCGCACAAGCGGUGGAGCAUGUGGUUUAAUUCGAAGCAACGCGAAGAACCUUACCAGCUCUUGACAUCUUCUGACAACUCUAGAGAUAGAGCGUUCCCUUCGGGGACAGAAUGACAGGUGGUGCAUGGUUGUCGUCAGCUCGUGUCGUGAGAUGUUGGGUUAAGUCCCGUAACGAGCGCAACCCUUGUUGUUAGUUGCCAGCAUUAAGUUGGGCACUUUAACGAGACUGCCGGUGAUAAACCGGAGGAAGGCGGGGAUGACGUCAAAUCAUCAUGCCCCUUAUAAGCUGGGCUACACACGUGCUACAAUGGAUGGUACAACGAGCAGCGAUCCCGCAAGGGCUAGCUAAUCUUUCAAAGCCAUUCUCAGUUCGGAUUGCACUCUGCAACUCGAGUGCAUGAAGUCGGAAUCGCUAGUAAUCGCGAAUCAGAAUGUCGCGGUGAAUCCGUUCCCGGGUCUUGUACACACCGCCCGUCACACCACGAGAGUUUGAAACACCCGAAGUCGGCCGGCCAACCCUAUGGGAGGCAGCCGUCGAAGGUGGGUUGAAUGAUUGGGGUGAAGUCGUAACAAGGUAGCCGUAUCGGAAGGUGCGGCUGGAUCACCUCCUUUCUAAGGA